UACGGAGGGUGCGAGCGUUAUCCGGAUUUAUUGGGUUUAAAGGGUGCGUAGGCGGACUGUCAAGUCAGCGGUAAAAUUGAGAGGCUCAACCUCUUCCCGCCGUUGAAACUGGUGGUCUUGAGUGGAUGAGAAGUACGCGGAAUGCGUGGUGUAGCGGUGAAAUGCAUAGAUAUCACGCAGAACUCCGAUUGCGAAGGCAGCGUACCGGCAUCCAACUGACGCUGAGGCACGAAAGCGUGGGGAUCAAACAGG
rnacentral:rRNA from 1 species